rnacentral:misc_RNA from 1 species
AAAGUCGUAACAAGGUCUCCGUUGGUGAACCAGCGGAGGGAUCAUUACCGAGUUAUUACUCCAAACCCAUUGUGAACCUUACCAAUUACUGCUGUUGCCUCGGCGGACGGCUGGGAGGGUGCCCCUAGCGGGCGCCCGACCGACCCCCGCCGGCAGCACCAAACUCUUGAAUUUAUAGCGAAUCUACUUCUGAAUAACAAAUACAAACAAAUCAAAACUUUCAACAACGGAUCUCUUGGUUCUG